rnacentral:rRNA from 1 species
AUACGGAGGGUGCAAGCGUUAUUCGGAAUUAUUGGGCGUAAAGGGCGUGUAGGCGGCCAGAUAAGUCAGAGGUGAAAGCCCGGGGCUCAACCCCGGAAGUGCCUUUGAAACUGUUUGGCUUGAGUGCGGGAGAGGAAAGCGGAAUUCCCAGUGUAGAGGUGAAAUUCGUAGAUAUUGGGAGGAACAUCGGUGGCGAAGGCGGCUUUCUGGACCGACACUGACGCUGAGGCGCGAAAGCGUGGGGAGC